AGACAUGGGGAUGAUCUGGCUUUGAAAACUAUCACCCGGUUGAUUGCCAGAGUUGAUGCAGAUGAUCUGACUGGCUAAGCAGGUGCCCUCUUCCUCCCUCAUCAAUCCAGGUGCAUGCCACCUGAAGCUGUAUGUUUCCCCAAAUAGAAAAGGACUCAGCAUAUGAGUAGCUGCUCUCCAAGCAAGCUCUCAGGAUUGAAGGAACUUCAUUCUACUGUGACCAAUCUGUUUGAAGAUUUGGCUGUCUU
rfam:Cricetulus griseus cell line CHO-K1, whole genome shotgun sequence.